GACAGCAGCAGCCGCGGUAAUACAGAGGGUGCGAGCGUUAAUCGGAUUUACUGGGCGUAAAGCGUGCGUAGGCGGCUUCUUAAGUCGGAUGUGAAAUCCCUGAGCUUAACUUAGGAAUUGCAUUCGAUACUGGGAAGCUAGAGUAUGGGAGAGGAUGGUAGAAUUCCAGGUGUAGCGGUGAAAUGCGUAGAGAUCUGGAGGAAUACCGAUGGCGAAGGCAGCCAUCUGGCCUAAUACUGACGCUGAGGUACGAAAGCAUGGGGAGCAAACAGGAUUAGAUACCCCAGUAGUCCCUGUCUCUUAUAC
rnacentral:rRNA from 1 species